rnacentral:rRNA from 1 species
GGCGGACGGGUGAGUAACGCGUAAAGAACUUGCCCUUUAGACUGGGNUAAAACAGAGGGAAACUUCUGAUAAUACUGGAUAAGUUAGUAUAUCGCAUGAUAUACAAAUGAAAGCUAAGGCACUAAAGGAGAGCUUUGCGUCCUAUUAGCUAGUUGGUAAGGUAAGAGCUUACCAAGGCGAUGAUAGGUAGCCGGCCUGAGAGGGUGGACGGCCACAAGGGGACUGAGAUACGGCCCUUACUCCUACGGGAGGCAGCAGUU